GACGAACGCUGGCGGCGUGCCUAACACAUGCAAGUCGAGCGGAGAUGUACUGAAGAUUUAUCGGAUGUACAUCUUAGCGGCGGACGGGUGAGUAACGCGUGGGCAACCUGCCUUUCACUGGGGGAUAACACAGGGAAACCUGUGCUAAUACCGCAUGACAUCACGUAGGGCAUCCUAUGUGAUCAAAGGAGAGAUCCGGUGGAAGAUGGGCCCGCGUCCAAUUAGCUGGUUGGUGAGGUAAAGGCUCACCAAGGCGACGAUUGGUAGCCGAACUGAGAGGUUGAUCGGCCACAUUGGGACUGAGACACGGCCCAGACUCCUACGGGAGGCAGCAGUGGGGAAUAUUGCACAAUGGGGGAAACCCUGAUGCAGCGACGCCGCGUGCGGGAUGACGGCCUCGGUGUAACGCUUCUAGCAGGACGAAACAGACGGUACCUGCAGAAGAAGACGCCGGCUAACUACGUGCCAGCAGCCGCGGUAACA
rnacentral:rRNA from 1 species